CGAAAAAGACAAAAACUUUUUGAAACAGCAAGAAGUUUGCUACACUGGAACCAAUAUCUUUUUUCUUGCGGGUCACGCAUUAAAACGGUGUCAAGCACAGGCUUUGGAUUGAGUCCAAAGAACAAUUGCAAAUAUAUCUACUUUUCAACUUUAUUUAUUUACAAAUCGUAUCUUUCCCCUCUCAGUGAGUGAAUAAAAAGAAGCGUUAAAAUUAUUUACAAUAUAUUUAAUCUCUAUGCUUGGUGUGUUUUAAACUGAAAACUAACUUUUUAAUUUACCGUUAAUACUAAAAUCACCUACAAGUUACAUUAAUAACUUAAGAUUUCCAUUUGAUAACAUUAUACUAUACACUUGCUGGUAUAUAUGUGUAUAUAUCUCGGUAUGUAUAUACAUAUAUAUAUCAAUCUCACAACGCACCAAGAGGAAUAUCCAUGCUUAUUUAUGGGCAUAAGCAAAAAGAUAAAAAUGGCUGACAACUUUAUAACAAUGGAAAUACGCCGGGGGGGACGGGACAAAAAACUUCAGUACACCUAGAAGUAUCUCCCACAUAUUUGACCAGUUUUCGUUGCAACGAACAGGGUGAAACGAAAUCCUGACAACCCAGAAACCACUCGGAACUCAGGGCUUGGGGAAGAAGGCAAUGGAAAUAAUUCCGAGCAACUGGUGUCCGAAUGCAUUUUACUGGCGUCUGCAGCCGCCAAUCUUUUGAAAACAACCCCACCUGCUCUAAAUCGCUUCCUAAACCUCCCACCCCAAACUGCCUUCUUUAUACUGGCUCCUACGCAGACGAAACGGGACGUGCCAGGAUUCCUAUGGCAGCCUCGCCUCCAAGCUUAAACCUGUGCCUUUCCUUAUCCCAGGCGACUGCAGCGCAAGGAGGUAUAUGAGAGGGUCUAAUUGGACACGUCCUGAAAUCAAUAUGCUAAGUGGCAUCCAGGCAGAUUUUUGCUGAAUUGGCAAAAUGUCCAGGAAAACCCAGAUGUAUGAUGCUGGCACCAACUUUGAACCAUAACAAAUGGUAAUGGCAAAGGAUGUACAAGUAUUCCACAGCAUUCUAAUGCUCUUUAAUCUUGUUAUACAGUUGCAAACAACUCCAAGUUGUUAAUGAUUUCAAAAUGCAGUUAUAAGCAUUUAUUGUAUAUUUUUUUUGAGUCAGAGAGUAAGGAGGAAUUGGCUCAACCCUCUACACCAAUGCAGGUAAUACCUAUCAUAGUGUCUUUCCCAUUUUAGGUGCUUCAGGAUGUCACUGAUAUUUUAAAAGCUACAAGUUAUCUCUAGAAUAAGUUAAUCUUUGUAUUUACUGUAGAAGUUUGUAUUUACAGUAGGGUUAUGAUACUGACUUUGUCAGUCAAUGAUAUAUGUUAAAGUGACUGGAAUGUACAAGAAGGAAUUAAUGAAUUCAUAUUUACUGGAGACGUGAACCUAUUUCAAUAUUUAUUGGGAUACCUAGACUGGUGGCUUUACUCUUAUUUUGCUACUGAAAAACCAUUUUGUCAAAGCAGUGUGCUGUAUUCUGAGCCACUUCAAAGUUUCCAUGAUUUGAGAUGUCAAGAAGAGCAAUAUUACAUCUCAUUUUGGGUGUGCUGAAUAUGUACAAUUCUUAAUCAAUGUGAUUUGAAAUCUAUUGCUAAGGGCAACUAGACCAAUGCUGCACUAAUCCAGUCUACUACUGAGGCAACUGGACUAAUGCCAAUUUUGUUGCACUAAUCAACAAUCAAACUAUCAUAGCAUGCUAAGGCAGGUGACUAUUUAAUCCAACCAAGUAAAAAGCAGGGGCAGGCUUCUUCAUACUUGCCCCCUCUAUUUGAAGUGGUGGCAAAGGGAGUGAUUCUGUGAUGUCAUUAUAUAGCCAAAUCUCAUUGGCUAAACGGUACAGUAAUGCCAUCACAUAUUCUCUGAAUGGCUGGGUGUUUGUAUGUGUAUGUGAAUGAGUGACAGAGUGAGUGAGUGAGUGAGUGACAGAGAUUCUGUGAAUAUUCUUCCUGCUCAAAGCUUCUCUUUUGCAUAGAAAAUAUCAAAGCCAUCCAAAUUACUGAACACUUGUACUACCUUAAGCUACUACUAUCCUAUUUGCCCUGUUGCUGCAGAUCCCUCUGCUUAUGCCCCAGUAACUGCAGCAUAUUGCACUGACGGUGUAAGUUAAAUCAACUCACACACUAUCUGGGGCAAAGCUAAAGUGGUUGCCUAAGGACAUUAUCUUCUGUAUUUUUUCAGGGUAGAUCAUGAGCAGAUACUACUUGCAACAAGUCCCCUUUAACCUUUCAGAAUCGGUUAAAUAAAUACUCGAUCAUAACAUUACACAGUCAGAAUUAAACUAAGAGUACAAAUGGGACUUAACUUUGAAUAAAAGGUUACACCAUUUGAUGGCAUUCUUCCUUCCACAGUGCCACAGAGAUCCAACUCAAUGGAAUACUAUUCUUAAAAUUAAAAAAAGCAAAGGCUACUUUCUGAAGGCAAUUGCUUUUGUGUGAGGUGGUAACACUGUUCUUAAAGUGUAAGAAAACUGUUAGAGAAGAAGAUCUUUAGGUAUUUAGAGAAACAUCACGCUUUAGGUGUAAAAUCUUUGCUUCAGCUUUUUUCAAGGAAGGAAGAAGAUCUGUAACAUGGCAGCCAUCUCUGAAUGGUUUUUUCCACUUUGGUUCCACUGAAAAUGAGAUUACAUGCUUGGAUGAGGAUAAACCUAAUUAGCGGAUAAUGGGAUUCCUUCACAGACAUUUUAUACUAUCUACAAGAGUUGACUCAUCUGCAUUAUUACACGUUUCUUUGCUGUUUUGAGGGGGGAAAUCCUGUCAAACAAAGGCAACGAGCACAAAUCUUUCUUUUUGUAGGAAUUGUCUCUCAUUUUGAUCUGCAAAUUCCCAAGACAUAAUAAACGGGGCAGAGAAAUUAAAACAGA